rnacentral:lncRNA from 1 species
CUACUGGGUUGGUGACAUUUACAAGAGAGUCUUGAAGAUUUUCCAGAACGGGAAAGAUUUUGGAAGAACAAAGAGGAACUACAGAAUCAUUGCUUACAUUGACACAAUUGAAUGGGAAGCCAUCAUUCUUUAAAGGGCAAUGACCAAGCAGUACCAGCAGAAAUUGAAGUACCAGCAGAAGGCUAAGAAGGGAUCAUGGCACAAGUUGCAGUUUCCACCCUGCCCAUUGAAGAUGAGGAGUCCAUGGAAGAUGAGGAGUCUGUUGAAGACGAGGAGUCCGUUGAAGAUGAGUCCGCGGAGAGCAGGAUGCUGGUGACAUUGCUCAUAUCAGCUCUUGAGUCCACGGAUCAUGGCACAAGUUGCAGUUUCCACCCUG